AAUAGCCUGUAUUUUGGAUUUAACCACAUUUUCAGAAAACAAGAAGACUGAGAAAACAGGAGGCAAGAGAACCUUGGAACCUACGGAAUGUCAUGUUUCUGUGUGGAAGUUUGCUAACUCACUCUCCACUUCUGGAGUGGCCGAACUGACAGCAAUCUCCGUUUCCUCCAAUGCUUCAUUUAUCACUGUCCUAGAUGACUGGGGACUGAAGGGGUGUUUGCCCAGUUCAACAAAUGUUCAUUGAACCCAUAUUGUGCACCAGGAACUGUACAUCAGGGAGCACAAAGUUAGCUUGAGCCUGCUUGUUGUUUAUAGCAGGGAAGAAGACACAUAAACUGAUAGUUUCACUAUAAAAUUGCAGAGAUAAGCAGUAAGG
rnacentral:lncRNA from 1 species